rnacentral:rRNA from 1 species
UACGGAGGGUGCGAGCGUUGUCCGGAUUUAUUGGGUUUAAAGGGUGCGUAGGCGGCUUUAUAAGUCUGGGGUGAAAGCCCGCUGCUCAACAGCGGAACUGCCCUGGAUACUGUAGAGCUUGAGGACAGACGAGGUUGGCGGAAUAGAAGAUGUAGCGGUGAAAUGCAUAGAUAUCUUCUAGAACCCCGAUUGCGAAGGCAGCUGACUAGACUGUAUCUGACGCUGAGGCACGAAAGCGUGGGGAGCGAACAGG